UACGUAGGGUGCGAGCGUUGUCCGGAAUUAUUGGGCGUAAAGAGCUCGUAGGCGGCUUGUCGCGUCGGAUGUGAAAGCCCGGGGCUUAACUCCGGGUCUGCAUUCGAUACGGGCAGGCUAGAGUUCGGUAGGGGAGAUCGGAAUUCCUGGUGUAGCGGUGAAAUGCGCAGAUAUCAGGAGGAACACCGGUGGCGAAGGCGGCGUCCUGGACCAACACUGACACUGAUGAGCGAAAGCCAGGGGAGCAAACGGG
rnacentral:rRNA from 1 species